AGUGAACGCUGGCGGUAGGCCUAACACAUGCAAGUCGAACGGCAGCACAGUAAGAGCUUGCUCUUACGGGUGGCGAGUGGCGGACGGGUGAGGAAUACAUCGGAAUCUACUUUUUCGUGGGGGAUAACGUAGGGAAACUUACGCUAAUACCGCAUACGACCUACGGGUGAAAGCAGGGGAUCUUCGGACCUUGCGCGAUUGAAUGAGCCGAUGUCGGAUUAGCUAGUUGGCGGGGUAAAGGCCCACCAAGGCGACGAUCCGUAGCUGGUCUGAGAGGAUGAUCAGCCACGCUGGAACUGAGACACGGUCCAGACUCCUACGGGAGGCAGCAGUGGGGAAUAUUGGACAAUGGGCGCAAGCCUGAUCCAGCCACACCGCGUGGGUGAAGAAGGCCUUCGGGUUGUAAAGCCCUUUUGUUGGGAAAGAAAAGCAGCAGGUUAAUACCCCGCUGUUCUGACGGUACCCAAAGAAUAAGCACCGGCUAACUUCGUG
rnacentral:rRNA from 1 species